AAUUCACUUCGAUAUCUAUACAUUUUUUGAACGCGAUAUAGAAUAAUAUAAAGUAGACAAACGUUAUUAUAAGCGUAGGUACAUAUAGUUGGCGCUCCUUGGUCACGUGACGCGAUUUAACCGAGCCCGACGAAGGCGUCCUUAAGAUCUAUCUCCUACCAUUCGUAUGUUUGCGCAACGGAAGCAACAAAUUAUCAAUUUGUUAUCGGAUUUAAACUGUCUCUUCUAAACGUAGAAUAAUGUAAUCGUUACUUGUCAUCAGAUUCAUAUACUUAUUAAAAAAAGGGAAAAAAAUACGUACAUGUAUGCAUAUAUAUAUGUAUAUAAUGAAAUUAUUAUGUAUAUAUAUACACCCCCACCCCCCACACACACAUACAUAUAAAUAUACAUAUAUAAUAAAAUUGUUACUAUUAAGAAUAUUAUAUCAUUUUCUAGAUUUAUUAUAUAUUAUAUAUUUGUUAUAUAUACAUAAUAAAAUUGUUAUUAUUAAGAAUAUUAUAUUAUUAAGAAUAUUAAAAUAGUAUAUUAAGAAUUGUUAUAUUAUCUAUUGUUAUGUUAUUAUAUAAUAUUAUGUAAUUAUUAUAUUAUAUACUACAUUAGAUUAUUCGACUCGUUUUCGUUAGAUCAUCGAUUUCAACUUGUCGAAUUAAUUGAUGGAAUCAUUAAAGAAGCAUAUAUACAUACAUAUCUCUUUUUCUUUCAUAAAAAGAGAGAAAGAGAAAAGACAUAAAAAUCGAGGAGUGUCAACGCGAUCUCUUUCUCUCUCUGUUUCUCUCGUUCUCUUUCUUUUACGUCGUUAUCGCUCCCACGUAUAUUUCAUGGAAGAUACUUUUCAGACCGACGUCUUAUCUCGAAGGAUUCGUUCUUAUCGACUUACGUUGAACGAAGGAAAGAGAAAAAGAGACAGACAGACAGACAGAUUGAAAGAGAGAGAGAGAAAGACAGACAGAGAGAGAGAGAGAGAGAGAGAGAGAGAGAGAGAAAGGGAGAGAGAGAGAAAGAGAGAAACAGAGGGAGAGAGGGAGAGAGAAACGGAGAGAGAGAGAAGAUCUGAGUGACGUCUCGAUUCUGGUUCGUCUCAUCUUUGUAGAUGAUGCGAACACCGAAACCAGUUUUCAAUUUCUCACCUACACAUGCGCGCCCACGAUUUGUUGGCGCGAUCUUGAACGUAUUAUAUGAAUAAUACAUGUUUCUUAUAUGAAUUUAUAUAUAUAUAUAUAUAUAUAUAUAUAUAUAUAUAUAUAUAUAAGCAUCAAAGUACAUCUAUCUAUGUACAUAUAGAUAUACAUGUAUACGUAGGUUUAUAUAAAUAUGCACGUAAUUGUGAAGAUGUUCCAAGUAAAGAAUAUUAGAUACUAUUUAAUGAAUAUCAUUUUGUUUUAUUUUUAACACUGUAUCAAAUUUUACAAUUAAAAAAUCUCAUUGAUAAUAUCAGUGGUUCAUAGAGUGUGGCGAAGUUAAGUAAAAACACGUGUUUCGCAUCUGUUUCGUGAUUCGCGCACGCGUCUGAGAUGUUGAAGAUGGGGAUAGAAAACGAGUGUGAGAGGAGAGAGAGAGAGAGAGAGAGAGAGAGAGAGAGAGAGAGAGAGAAAGAGAGAGAGAGAGAGAGAAAGGAAAA